rnacentral:rRNA from 1 species
CAGCAGCCACGGUAAGACAGAGGAUGCAGGCGUUAUCCGGAAUGAUUGGGCGUAAAGCGUCUGUAGGUGGCUUUUCAAGUCCGCCGUCAAAUCCCAGGGCUCAACCCUGGACAGGCGGUGGAAACUACCAGGCUGGAGUACGGUAGGGGCAGAGGGAAUUUCCGGUGGAGCGGUGAAAUGCGUUGAGAUGUGGAGGAACACCGAUGGCGAAGGCAGCCCCUGGGCCAAUACUGACGCUCAUGCACGAAAGCGUGGGGAGCAAACAGGAUUAGAUACCCCUGUAGUCCCUGUCUCUUAUACA